rfam:Spirochaetaceae bacterium 4572_59 ex4572_59_scaffold_142, whole genome shotgun sequence.
AAAGAUUAUAACAAAAAAGUUUUAUUUCUUGGCACAGACGGCAGUGAACGAAUCGUGCGAAGCCAUGGGAAGGGCAGUCUGUCAGCCGUAAUGCGUAAGCGUGAAGGUGUUGAGCCUCGAAAAUAUCCAUAUUGCACAGGGUCAAAGAUUUCAUAUUCUGGAAACCAAUAUCAGAUUAUUCGCUAUGGUAAGAAUAGAUCUGACGUGCCGGGGUCUUAGUCCA